rnacentral:rRNA from 1 species
UACAGAGGUCUCAAGCGUUGUUCGGAUUCAUUGGGCGUAAAGGGUGCGUAGGCGGCGCGGUAAGUCGGGUGUGAAAUCUCGGAGCUUAACUCCGAAACUGCAUUCGAUACUGCCGUGCUUGAGGACUGGAGAGGAGACUGGAAUUUACGGUGUAGCAGUGAAAUGCGUAGAUAUCGAGAGGAACACCAGUGGCGAAGGCGAGUCCCUGGACAACACCUGACACUGAGGCACGAAAGCUAGGGGAGCAAACAGG